AAUAGAUACCCGGGUAGUCCACGCCGUAAACGGUGGGCACUAGGUGUGGGCAGCAUUCCACGUUGUCCGUGCCGUAGCUAACGCAUUAAGUGCCCCGCCUGGGGAGUACGGCCGCAAGGCUAAAACUCAAAGGAAUUGACGGGGGGCCCGCACAAGCGGCGGAGCAUGUGGCUUAAUUCGACGCAACGCGAAGAACCUUACCAAGGCUUGACAUACACCGGAAACAUCCAGAGAUGGGUGCCCCCUUGUGGUCGGUGUACAGGUGGUGCAUGGCUGUCGUCAGCUCGUGUCGUGAGAUGUUGGGUUAAGUCCCGCAACGAGCGCAACCCUUGUCCCGUGUUGCCAGCAGGCCCUUGUGGUGCUGGGGACUCACGGGAGACCGCCGGGGUCAACUCGGAGGAAGGUGGGGACGACGUCAAGUCAUCAUGCCCCUUAUGUCUUGGGCUGCACACGUGCUACAAUGGCCGGUACAAAGAGCUGCGAUACCGUGAGGUGGAGCGAAUCUCAAAAAGCCGGUCUCAGUUCGGAUUGGGGU
rnacentral:rRNA from 1 species